CCUACGGGAGGCAGCAGUGGGGAAUAUUGGACAAUGGGCGCAAGCCUGAUCCAGCCAUGCCGCGUGGGUGAAGAAGGCCUUAGGGUUGUAAACCCCUUUCAGCGGGGAAGAUAAUGACGGUACCCGCAGAAGAAGUCCCGGCUAACUCCGUGCCAGCAGCCGCGGUAAUACGGAGGGGACUAGCGUUGUUCGGAAUUACUGGGCGUAAAGCGCACGUAGGCGGAUUUGUAAGUCAGGGGUGAAAUCCCGAGGCUCAACCUCGGAACUGCCUUUGAUACUGCAAAUCUCGAGUCCGGAAGAGGUGAGUGGAAUUCCUAGUGUAGAGGUGAAAUUCGUAGAUAUUAGGAAGAACACCAGUGGCGAAGGCGGCUCACUGGUCCGGUACUGACGCUGAGGUGCGAAAGCGUGGGGAGCAAACAGGAUUAGAUACCCUUGUAGUC
rnacentral:rRNA from 1 species